rnacentral:rRNA from 1 species
GAUGAACGCUGGCGGCGUGCCUAAUACAUGCAAGUCGAGCGAACAGACGAGGAGCUUGCUCCCCUGACGUUAGCGGCGGACGGGUGAGUAACAAGUGGAUAACCUACCUAUAAGACUGGGAUAACUUCGGGAAACCGGAGCUAAUACUGGAUCAUAUAUUGAACGGCAUGGUUCAAUAGUGAAAGACGGUUUUGGUGUUACUUAUAGAUGGAUUCGCGCUGGAUUAGCUAGUUGGUAAGGUAACGGCUUACCAAGGCAACGAUGCGUAGCCGACCUGAGAGGGUGAUCGGCCACACUGGAACUGAGACACGGUCCAGACUCCUACGGGAGGCAGCAGUAGGGAAUCUUCCGCAAUGGGCGAAAGCUUGACGGAGCAACGCCGCGUGAGUGAUGAAGGUCUUCGGAUCGUAAAACUCUGUUAUUAGGGAAGAACAAAUGUGUAAGUAACUAUGCACGUCUUGACGGUACCUAAACAGAAAGCCACGGCUAACUACGUG